GGGCCUUUGGCGCAGCUGGCUAGCGCGCCUCCAUGGCAUGGAGGAGGUCACGGGUUCGAAUCCCGUAAGGUCCGCCA
rnacentral:tRNA from 1 species